CGUGUAGGCGGGAAGGAAAGUCAGAUGUGAAAUCCCCAGGCUCAACCUGGGAACUGCAUUUGAAACUCCCUUUCUUGAGUACCGGAGAGGAAAGUGGAAUUCCUGGUGUAGAGGUGAAAUUCGUAGAUAUCAGGAGGAACACCAGUGGCGAAGGCGGCUUUCUGGACGGUAACUGACGCUGAGACGCGAAAGCGUGGGGAGCAAAACA
rnacentral:rRNA from 1 species